CUCACAACAUGUCUAAGAGGUAGGCACGUCAUUGUUCCCAUUUUGCAGAUGAGGAAACUGAGGUUCAGAGAGGGCACUUGGCUUGCCCAAAGUCACACAGCAGGGAGUGGCAGAGAAUGGGGAUAGGUGGGGGAAUGAGGUGAGAGGGGAGAUGUUUAGAGGUGUGGAGGGCGGCAGAGGUUUGAACAGUGCAGACAAGGGGAGAGUUCAGCCGACUGGGGAGGAAGAGGAUGGACGAUG
rnacentral:lncRNA from 10 species